UAUUUUCAUGGGAGGAAGUUAUGUGUUGGCUUCUUGAGCCGUGUGUUGCCAAUGCGCACAUCGGUUUGAAUUAUGUUUUCAUAUUUGUUUUUAUUUGCUCUCAUGAU